AUGGGAAAUAAGCAAGACGAACUCCAACUCUUAGCACAGCAGCACACAUACGAUGUCAUAGGCAUCACUGAAACCUGGUGGGAUGACUCCCAUCACUGGAAUGUAGCCAUUGAGGGCUAUAACCUCUUUCACAGAAAUAGAACAAAGGGGAGAGGAGGGGGAGUAGCUUUAUAUGUCAAAAACAGUUAUGUUGCAGAAGAAAUGCAAGACUGUAAUCCGGGAAACCACCUUGAAAGCAUCUGGAUAAGAAUCAAGGGUACCGGGACUCAAAAAGAUCUUGUCGUGGGUGUCUACUACAGACCUCCGAGUCAGGAUGAAAGACUUGAUGAAGCCUUCUGUGAACAGCUGACCAAACAGGCACAAAGAAGAGAUAUAGUAGUCAUGGGCGAUUUCAAUUAUCCCGAUAUCUGCUGGAAAACAAACUCAGCCAAGAGUACAAAGUCCAACAAAUUCCUCACUUGCCUUGCAGACAAUUUUAUGGUCCAGAAAGUAGAAGAGGCAGCAAGGGGAUCAGCAACUCUUGAUCUAAUCUUAACAAAUGUGGAAGACCUGAUCAAUACAGUUGAAGUGAUUAGAUCAAGAGUUGCUGAUCCCCUUGUUGCCUCUUCUACCUUCUGUCAACAGCUGACCAAACAGGCACAAAGAAGAGAUAUAGUAGUCAUGGGCGAUUUCAAUUAUCCCGAUAUCUGCUGGAAAACAAACUCAGCCAAGAGUACAAAGUCCAACAAAUUCCUCACUUGGCUUGCAGAUAAUUUUAUGGUCCAGAAGGUAGAAGAGGCAACAAGGGGAUCAGCAACUCUUGAUCUAAUCUUAACAAAUGUGGAAGACCUGAUCAAUACAGUUGAAGUGGUUGGAUCCUUAGGGGCAAGUGACCAUGUGGCUCCUGCAGUUUGCAAUACAAAGGAAUGCUGAAACUAAGACAAGUCAAACACGCAUUCUGGACUUUAAGAGAGCUGACUUCCAAAAAAUGAAGGAAUUACUGAGCGGCAUUCCAUGGACGCCGAUAUUAAAAAACAAGGGAGUUAAGGAUGGAUGGGAGUUUUUCAAAAGUGAAAUACUCAAGGCGCAAAUGCAAACAGUGCCAACAAAGAAGAAAAAUAAGACAAGUGCAAAGAAGCCAGAAUGGAUGUCCAAAGAACUACUAACUGAGCUAAAGCUCAAAAGUGACAUGCACAAGAAGUGGAAAAGGGGAGAAAUCACCAAAGAAGAAUUCAAACGUAUAGCCAACACCUGUAGGGAAAAGGUUCGCAAGGCUAAAGCGCAAAAUGAGCUCAGGCUUGCCAGGGACAUAAAAAACAACAAAAAAGGCUUUUUUGCUUACGUUGGUAGAAAAAGGAAGAAAAAGGAGGCGAUAGGGCCAUUGCAAGGAGAAGAUGGGGUGAUGGCGACAGGGAACAGGGAAAAGGCAGAACUACUUAAUGCCUUCUUUGCCUCGGUCUUCUCAGAAAAAGAAAGCCAUCUUCAACCUCAGCAACACGGAAUGGACGAAGGAUUGGGGGAAAUCCAACCCCAAAUAGGGAAACAAGUUGUCCAGGAACACUUGGCCUCUCUAAACGAAUUCAAGUCCCCAGGGCCAGAUCAGCUACACCCAAGAGUACUGAAGGAACUAGCGGAAGUUAUUUCAGAAGCCACUGGCAAUUAUCUUCGAGAGUUCUUGAGAACGGGAGAAGUCCCAGCAGAUGAGAGGGCGAAUGUGGUUCCCUAUCUUCAGAGGAAAAAAGAAUGACCAA
rnacentral:lncRNA from 1 species